rnacentral:sRNA from 1 species
AUGGCUGUCGUCAGCUCGUGUCGUGAGAUGUUGGGUUAAGUCCCGCAACGAGCGCAACCCUUACUUUUAGUUGCUACCAUUUAGUUGGGCACUCUAAAAGAACUGCCAGUGAUAAGCUGGAGGAAGGCGGGGAUGACGUCAAGUCCUCAUGGCCCUUAUGUGUUGGGCUACACACGUGCUACAAUGGUACCCACAAUGAGAAGCAAAGAGGCGACUCUAAGCCAAUCUUUAAUAGGUACCUCAGUUCGGAUUGUACUCUGCAACUCGAGUACAUGAAGCUGGAAUUACUAGUAAUCGCGGAUCAGCGCGCCGCGGUGAAUACGUUCCCGGGUCUUGUACACACCGCCCGUCACACCAUGGAAGUUGGUUACACCUUAAGGCAAAGUGUAAAAUCUUUGACUACGGUACGAUCAGCGACUGGGGUGAAGUCGUAACAAGGUAGCCGUAGGGGAACCUGCGGCUGGAUCACCUCCUUUCUAAGGAAAUCGAAAAAUAUUAAAUCAAUUAUUUUCGAUUUAAAAAAAUCGGUUAAUGUGACCGUCCUCAUUUCUCUUCUUUUAAUGUCUCUAAGUAAAUCGAGGGGCCGGUAGCUCAGUUGGUUAGAGCGCACCCCUGAUAAGGGUGAGGUCGGAAGUUCGAGUCUUCCUCGGCCCACCAAUAUUAUGGGGGAUUAGCUCAGCUGGGAGAGCGCCUGAUUUGCAUUCAGGAGGUCAGCGGUUCGAUCCCGCUAUCCUCCACCAAGAGACACUUAGUUAUUUAAACUGUAAAUAAAAAUAAUUAUUAUCAAUAUCUAUAUCCGAUUGUUCGAAUAGAUGAACAAUCAAAGAAUGUUCGAAUAGAUGAACAUUCCAAAAAAAUUUGAUUCAACACAGAAUUUUUUUCUGUGCAUAAAUCAAGCGUUUAAGGGCGUGUGGCGGAUGCCUUGGCACUGAAAGCCGACGAAGGACGUGGUAUACUGCGAUAAGUUACGGGGAGCUGUAUGCAAGUUUUGAUCCGUAAAUUUCCGAAUGGGGAAACCCGG